rnacentral:rRNA from 1 species
AGCAGCCGCGGUAAUUCCAGCUCCAAUAGCGUAUAUUAAAGUUGCUGCAGUUAAAAAGCUCGUAGUUGAAUUUCGGGACUAAUAUGUCGGUCGUGCCUCGGUACGUACUGGUAUUUUUGGUUUCUCCCUUCUGACGAACCUUGAUGUCAUUAAUUUGGUGUCUUGGGAAAUCAGGACUGUUACUUUGAAAAAAUUAGAGUGUUUAAAGCAGGCUCACGCUUGAAUACAUUAGCAUGGAAUAAUGAAAUAGGACGUUUGAUUCUAUUUUGUUGGUUUCUAGGAUCGACGUAAUGAUUAAUAGGGAUAGUUGGGGGCAUUAGUAUUCAAUUGUCAGAGGUGAAAUUCUUGGAUUUAUUGAAGACUAACUACUGCGAAAGCAUUUGCCAAGGAUGUUUUCAUUAAUCAAGAACGAAAGUUAGGGGAUCGAAGACGAUCAGAUGCCGUCGUAGUCUUAACCAUAAACUAUGCCGACUAGGGAUCGGAUGAUGUUAAUUUUUUUCAAUGACUCAUUCGGCGCCUU